UGAGAGUUAUAAUUGAUGAGAUUUUCGGUUGUGAUUGUGAUAUUUUAUGAUAGAAAAGUCAAAUUUUGCUGCCAAUCUCAAUCCACAUAUGAUAAGAAUACGCAUGGUUGAUGCAUUACGCCUGCAUGACUUCUCAAAUUGUCAAAGGUAUGGCAUUACCUGCCACAUUCUUAUAAUGUGAAAGUAUGUACAGAUUGUGAGCAUCAAAAAAAUAAAGGACCCCACACUUGGAAGUGCUAGAGCACAAAAAUCACAUGAUUCUAUUCAUUUUUUGACAGAUUUAAUAAGUGGUCUGUUUGACUAGCUUGAGAGAUGGAGACAUUUUGUUGUAAAUCUUGAUGGAUGGAUGGAUGGAUGGAUGGAUGGAUCACCUGGGAGGCUGUCAAGAAGAGGUCCUAAGGAAAGGCGUUUGAUAAUAUAAGUGUAAUACAGGGGUGUUUAAGAAUAAAACAAAUAAGUUGCAGCAAUUAAUAUGGUAAAUUGAUCAUCAGGGGGGAGAGCUGCUUUACAAACAGUUUUGUACACUUUGACAUACACGGAUAUUGAUGCAAAGAUGUAUGAGAGAACCAGUGUACUUUCUACUAGUAAGAUUUUCAUUAGUUUUGGGUCCUUUGGGAUCUAUCUUUCUCUUUC
rnacentral:lncRNA from 1 species